rnacentral:rRNA from 1 species
AGAAUCAACGCUGGCGGCGUGCCUAACACAUGCAAGUCGAACGAGAAAGUGGAGCAAUCCAUGAGUAAAGUGGCGCACGGGUGAGUAACACGUGACUAACCUACCCUUGAGUGGGGGAUAACCUAGAGAAAUCUGGGCUAAUACCGCAUAAUACCUUCGGGUCAAAGGAGCAAUUCGCUUAAGGAGGGGGUCGCGGCCGAUUAGUUAGUUGGCGGGGUAAUGGCCCACCAAGACUAUGAUCGGUAUCCGGCCUGAGAGGGCGCACGGACACACUGGAACUGAAACACGGUCCAGACUCCUACGGGAGGCAGCAGUGGGAAUUUGCGCAAUGGGGGAAACCCUGACGCAGCAACGCCGCGUGGAGGAUGAAGUCCCUUGGGACGUAAACUCCUUUCGAUCGGGACGAUAAUGACGGUACCGAGAGAAGAAGCCCCGGCUAACGUUCGUGCCAGCAGCCGC